GAGAUAGCUGGAUAAACGUAUACUUUGGAAAAAAGAAACUGUUGAUUAAAUCAGCGCCACCAGCGGCGGCCGCCACAACAACUCAUUACAGUUUGAACUGACAGCGGAAGGCCUCUCCGCGCGUCCCUGGACCAACUGUUGACAUACCCGAGAGGAGACGGAAGGGCGGGCUGCUGCAUGGACAGGUGUGCGGCGAGAGAACAGCUGAGUCCUUCAUGAUACACGGCGCCCCCCAGCGAGCCCACACACCCACCGCGGCUCGGCUGGAGGUACUGGAACGACGCGGCGGCUGGCUGUGACGGAGCUUCCGGACGACCACCUGAGAUUCUGCAAGUACUUAAUUACUGAGGAUCCCAAGACAAGUACUCACUCAUACUUAUUCUUUCCGCUGGGUGAUGUCUUCCUCCGACGCGCGCAACACCUGUCAGGAAAGGGGGAAGACCAUAAGCUGGGAGGAGUGACACAACUGACGGUGGACGGGAAGGAGGCGCUGUCCCCAUUCCCCUCCUCGCCUCCCCUUCCCCUUCUUCAAUCUCCUCGUCGUCCCCUUCCUCCUCUCUCUCGCCUUCCCUCCGCCGCCCCUCGCACCAUCUGUCUGACUCCCACUCGUGUGAACGCCCCGGGCACUAACUUCAAGACUCGGGCGACGAUGAAAUAUGAACGCGAUCGUGGAGUGACCGGACGGGGAUGCGAAAAGAACGAAAAAUGUCAUGAAUCAAGAAGAAAAAAUAGAGAGAACUGUGUGUUUAAGGCAAAAAUAAAUGCUCCGUUCAGUUAAGAAAAGAAAAAAAUGUAAAAAUAGAUGUAAACAGAAAAGAAAGUGUCAGAAAUAAACAAGAAAAAAUAGAACUGUGUAGAUAAGAAGAAAAAUUUCGUCCAUUAUGUUAACACUAAGAAGAAAAGAAUGAAAAUACUAUUAUAAAAAUUUAAAGUGAGUACAAGUGAAAUUAAAGAGGGAGUGAAAAGUACUAUACAGAAAGAAACAAAAGUAAAAUCUAAGUAAAAAAAAGUACUCCAAAAAAGUUCAUAAAGGUAAAAAUAAAAGUGAAUGCAACAGUAUCUUGAAUUGUGAAAAGAAAAUAGGGAAAAAAUAUAAACAGCUGAAAGUCCGGAAGAAAAACAAAUAUAACUCCAGGAAGUUUAUGAAAGUUGAAAGAAAAUAAGUCGCACCACGAGAAACUUCAUCGUCAUACAACUUAAAUAAACCUUCACAAAGUUAUGUCCGCAAUUACCUGGACGAGCACACCUGUUAUCCAUUAUUGAUCACGAGAGGGACGAAAAUAGGCAGGAAGCACAAGGAGACCAAAAAUAAAGAGAAAAAAAA